UUGUUUCGUAUGACAAGCAAUGCUUGCCACACUCAUCAGGUGAAUUUAAAAAAAUUAAAUUUAAAUUAAAUUAAUUUAAAUUAAAAUUAAAUUAAUUUAAAUUUAAUUUUAAAUUCACCUGAUGAGUGUGGCAAGCAUUGCUUGUCAUACGAAACUG